GAUGAAUGCUGGCGGCGUGCCUAAUACAUGCAAGUCGAGCGGUAAGGCCCUUCGGGUACGACGAGCGGCGGACGGCUGAGUAACGCGUGGGAACAUGCCCCAAAGUGAGGGAUAACGCACCGAAAGGUGUGCUAAUACCGCAUAUGGUCUUCGGAUUAAAGGAUUUAUCCGCUUUGGAGUGGCCCGCGUACGAUUAGAUUGUUGGUGAGGUAACGGCUCACCAAGUCGACGAUCGUUAACUGGUCUGAGAGGAUGAUCAGUCAGACUGGAACUGAGACACGGUCCAGACUCCUACGGGAGGCAGCAGUAAGGG
rnacentral:rRNA from 1 species